AGUGGCGCAAGGGUGCGUAACACGUGGGCAAUCUACCGCAAAGACCGGAAUAACCUGCUGAAAAGUGGGCUAAUGCCGGAUGUUGUUUUCGGGGGGCAUCCCUUGAAACCAAAAGUUGGGGACCGAAAGGCCUGACGCUUUGCGAUGAGCCCGCGGCCUAUCAGCUAGUUGGCGAGGUAACGGCUCACCAAGGCUAAGACGGGUAGCUGGUCUGAGAGGACGACCAGCCACACUGGAACUGAGACACGGUCCAGACACCUACGGGUGGCAGCAGUCGAGAAUUUUUCACAAUGGGGGAAACCCUGAUGGAGCGACGCCGCGUGGGGGAUGAAGGGCUUCGGCUCGUAAACCCCUGUCAUUCGCGAAUAAUUGUUACAGUUGAACAAACUGUAGCUUGAUAGUAGCGGAAGAGGAAGGGACGGCUAAUUUUGUGCCAGCAGCCGCGGUAAUACAGAGGUCCCAAGCGUUGUUCGGAUUUACUGGGCGUAAAGGGUGCGUAGGCGGUAAGGAAAGUUCGGGGUGAAAUCUCCAGGCUCAACUUGGAAACUGCCCUGAAUACUUCCUUGCUAGAGGGUCGCAGAGGAGAUUGGAAUUCUCGGUGUAGCAGUGAAAUGCGUAGAUAUCGAGAGGAACAUCAGUGGCGAAAGCGAAUCUCUGGGCGACAACUGACGCUGAGGCACGAAAGCCAGGGGAGCAAACGGGAUUAGAUACCCCGGUAGUCCUGGCCCUAAACGGUGCGCACUUGC
rnacentral:rRNA from 1 species